GGGGGCUGCGGUGGGGCCACUCCGGUACCCAUCGCCCCCGGCGCCGCCGUGCGCUCCCCGCGGAGGAGCUCGGGCCGCUCGUCUCCGCGAACGCUGCGGCAGCUCCUCGUUCCCCUACGUUUCUUCCCGACAGUUUUACAACACCACCACUAUCUGUGUGGGUUGGGGAGAGUUGGGUGCUUUUUUUUUUUUGCCUUUUUUUUUUUUUUUUUCCCCUNNNNNNNNNNNNNNNNNNNNNNNNNNNNNNNCUUUCCCUAAAGCGAAGCGUGAUGGCAGCGGGACACGCGCGCACACACUCCCGAGCCGCACACGCACACACGCUCCGACCCUCCUUUCCCACCCCUUUUCCUUACAUCCCGGCGACAAGGGUUUCUCUGGAAGGAAUUCACUCUCCGCCACGAAUCGGGAGAAACUGGGCUCCCGGGAAGCGCACCUCGGGCACUUUCCCCAUUUCCCACGCAGUCACAGGUGGAGGGGAGCGCACCUCACCGGCACCCAGAGUACAGACUGACAGCACCCCAUCUGCUGAGAAUGCCAGUAAGGUGCUGCCUGGACAUCCACAUAAUUCUGGGGUCAUCACUGUUAUUUACAAAAACAAAAUAAAUGGAAGGAAGAUGGGCAAAAUCUGCUGUUGCUGGGGAGGCUUUUUCAAAAAGAGCUGGCACGUGUUCUCUACCGAAUCCAGUCCAAGGAUUGUUAGUGUCUUUAGAAAGCAAGUGCCAUCGCUGCUUGAUGCAAUGAGCUGAGCUCUGGGAACCAGCACUAGUUAGCACCAGUUUCACUGAAAAAGACAGAAAGAAAGAAGAAAGACAACUAGAGUGAGAAAGAUUUUCCUCCCCCAAAAAAAGUACUUUUAAAAGAGGUUCCAUUAUGUAAAUGCACAGCAUUGUCUCAUUGUCUCUAUCCAGAGCUUCAUGCACAACUCAUUUUACAUGGGAAGGGGAAGAAAGAACCCCUCCUCCAUACAUAGUCCUUGGAACUUCAACAUCCCAUAAUAUAGGAGCCAUAGAGCUCUCCUCUACUUUCAAAUGCAAGCUUAUAAGUUUCAACCAAUUUCUUCUCUCUGCUUUCUCGGAUGAUUUUAAGAUGUAAGUCCUAGGAUUGUUUAAAACAACAAAGGCCUUGACAGUCUGAAUGUGGCAAUGAAAUCUUCAUCUUGAACUCAUGGCAGAGAUGUUCCAGGC
rnacentral:lncRNA from 1 species